AAGAAACGUUCACUGAAUUCAAUCUACUUUAUUUUCAGGAUUCUUGUGACACCUGAGACCACAACUAGAUUUGAAUGGAUGAGAAAGUUUGAGGUAAGAUGGAGACUGAAAUGUAACAAGAUCGCAAGGGGCAACUUGUAUAUACAUUAUUUGAUUCAUUUGCAGCUACUUCUUCCUUCCUUUAUGAAUUAUUAUGCAUUUCAAGGCAUGCAAAUAUUAAGCAUAAUACCUUUCAUUGAAAA
rnacentral:misc_RNA from 1 species